rnacentral:ncRNA from 1 species
AGCGUGAUGCAGGGAGAGACUGUCGCGGCGCCCGCCGCCGGACAGCGCCGAAGGAGCAACCGCCCCGGAAACUCUCAGGCAAAAGGACCGGCAUCACCCG